UACGGAGGGUGCAAGCGUUAAUCGGAAUUACUGGGCGUAAAGCGUGCGCAGGCGGUUUGUUAAGUCCGUUGUGAAAGCCCCGAGCUCAACUUGGGAAUUGCAGUGGAUACUGGCAGGUUGGAGUACGGUAGAGGAAGGUGGAAUUCCCGGUGUAGCAGUGAAAUGCGUAGAUAUCGGGAGGAACACCAGUGGCGAAGGCGGCCUUCUGGACCAGUACUGACGCUCAUGCACGAAAGCGUGGGGAGCAAACAGG
rnacentral:rRNA from 1 species